rfam:Bombyx mori DNA, contig: Bm_scaf4_contig4139, strain: p50T/Dazao, build 2, whole genome shotgun sequence.
ACAACAUUCGGACCGUCGGUCUACCGAGCAAUAUCACCAGCUCGGUGGAAGAUCUUCCCUUUGUCGU